AUGAACGCUAGCGGCAGGCUUAAUACAUGCAAGUCGAGCGCGAAAAGUUUUCGGACUUAGUAAAGCGGCGGACGGGUGAGUAACGCGUGGGAAUCUGCCCAGUAGUGGGGGACAACAGCCGGAAACGGCUGCUAAUACCGCAUACGCCCUACGGGGGAAAGGGGGGAUCUUCGGACCUCUCGCUAUUGGAUGAGCCCGCGUCGGAUUAGCUAGUUGGUAGGGUAAAGGCCUACCAAGGCUACGAUCCGUAACUGGUCUGAGAGGAUGAUCAGU
rnacentral:rRNA from 1 species